rnacentral:rRNA from 1 species
AUUGAACGCUGGCGGCAGGCCUAACACAUGCGAGUCGAACGGUAACAGGAAACAGCUUGCUGUUUCGCUGACGAGUGGCGGACGGGUGAGUAAUGUCUGGGAAACUGCCUGAUGGAGGGGGAUAACUACUGGAAACGGUAGCUAAUACCGCAUAACGUCGCAAGAACAAAGAGGGGGACCUUCGGGCCUCUUGCCAUCGGAUGUGCCCAGAUGGGAUUAGCUAGUAGGUGGGGUAACGGCUAACCUAGGCGACGAUCCCUAGCUGGUCUGAGAGGAUGACCAGCCACACUGGAACUGAGACACGGUCCAGACUCCUACGGGAGGCAGCAGUGGGGAAUAUUGCACAAUGGGCGCAAGCCUGAUGCAGCCAUGUCGCGUGUAUGAAGAAGGCCUUCGGGUUGUAAAGUACUUUCAGCGGGGAGGAAGGGAGUAAAGUUAAUACCUUUGCUCAUUGACGUUACCCGCAGAAGAAGCACCGGCUAACUCCGUGCCAGCAGCCGCCGUAA